rnacentral:rRNA from 1 species
CGAAAGCCUGACGGAGCAACGCCGCGUGUGGGAAGAAGGCCUUUGGGCUGUCAACCACUUUUCUCAGGGAAGAAGCUCUGACGGUACCUGAGGAAUCAGCCUCGGCUAACUCCGUGCCAGCAGCCGCGGUAAUACGGAGGAGGCAAGCGUUAUCCGGAAUUAUUGGGCGUAAAGCGUCCGCAGGGGGCUGUUCAAGUCUGCUGUCAAAGACCGAGGCUCAACCUCGGGUCGGCAGUGGAAACUGGAUAGCUAGAGGUCGGUAGGGGCAAAGGGAAUUCCCAGUGUAGCGGUGAAAUGCGUAGAUAUUGGGAAGAACACCGGUGGCGAAAGCGCUUUGCUGGACCGAACCUGACGCUGAGGGACGAAAGCUAAGGUAGCG